rnacentral:rRNA from 1 species
AGUGAACGCUGGCGGUAGGCCUAACACAUGCAAGUCGAACGGCAGCACAGUAAGAGCUUGCUCUUACGGGUGGCGAGUGGCGGACGGGUGAGGAAUACAUCGGAAUCUACUUUUUCGUGGGGGAUAACGUAGGGAAACUUACGCUAAUACCGCAUACGACCUACGGGUGAAAGCAGGGGAUCUUCGGACCUUGCGCGAUUGAAUGAGCCGAUGUCGGAUUAGCUAGUUGGCGGGGUAAAGGCCCACCAAGGCGACGAUCCGUAGCUGGUCUGAGAGGAUGAGCAGCCACACUGGGAGGGAGACACGGUCCAGAGGCAUAGGGGAGGCAGCAGUGGGGAAUAUGGGACAAGGGGCGCAAGACAGAGCCAGACAGACCGCGUGGGUGAAGAAGGACGUCGGGUUGGAAAGGCCGGUUGUUGGGAAAGAAAAGCAGCAGGUUAAUAACCAGCUGUGAUGAAGGGAAACAAUGAAUAAGCAACGGCUAAAUUAGUG